GGGGAGCGUUCUGUAAGCCGAUGAAGGUGUAUUGAGAAGUAUGCUGGAGGUAUCAGAAGUGCGAAUGCUGACGUGAGUAACGACAAAACGGGUGAAAAACCCGUUCGCCGAAAGACCAAGGGUUCCAGUCCAACGUUAAUCGGGGCUGGGUGAGUCGACCCCUAAGGCGAGGCCGAAAGGCGUAGUCGAUGGGAAAAUGGUUAAUAUUCCAUUACUUCUGUGUAAUGCGAUGAGAGGACGGAGAAGGCUAAAUCAGCCUGGCGUUGGUUGUCCAGGUGAAAGGAUGUAGGCAUGUAUCUUAGGCAAAUCCGGGGUACUCUAUGCUGAGAUCUGAUAGCAAGCUGUACUUGUACAGCGAAGUGGUUGAUGCCAUGCUUCCAGGAAAAGUCUCUAAGCUUCAGUUACACAGGAAUCGUACCCGAAACCGACACAGGUGGUCAGGUCGAGUAGACCAAGGCGCUUGAGAGAACUCUGCUGAAGGAACUAGGCAAAAUGGUACCGUAACUUCGGGAGAAGGUACGCUGUUGUUGGUGAUGGAACUCGCUUCCUGAGCUGACGACAGCCGCAGAAACCAGGCCGCUGCAACUGUUUAUUAAAAACAUAGCACUCUGCAAACACGAAAGUGGACGUAUAGGGUGUGAUGCCUGCCCGGUGCUGGAAGGUUAAUUGAUGGGGUUAGCGUAAGCGAAGCUCUUGAUCGAAGCCCCAGUAAACGGCGGCCGUAACUAUAACGGUCCUAAGGUAGCGAAAUUCCUUGUCGGGUAAGUUCCGACCUGCACGAAUGGCAUAAUGAUGGCGGCGCUGUCUCCAGCAGAGGCUCAGUGAAAUCGAAAUCGCUGUGAAGAUGCAGUGUACCCGCGGCUAGACGGAAAGACCCCGUGAACCUUUACUGCAGCUUGACACUGAACUUUGACCUUACUUGUGUAGGAUAGGUGGGAGGCUUUGAAGCUGGAACGCUAGUUCCAGUGGAGCCGUCCUUGAAAUACCACCCUGGUAAUGUUGAGGUUCUAACUCUGUCCCGUGAUCCGGGACGAGGACCGUGUCUGGUGGGUAGUUUGACUGGGGCGGUCUCCUCCUAAAGAGUAACGGAGGAGUACGAAGGUGCGCUCAGCGUGGUCGGAAAUCACGCGUAGAGUAUAAAGGCAAAAGCGCGCUUAACUGCGAGACCCACAAGUCGAGCAGGUACGAAAGUAGGUCUUAGUGAUCCGGUGGUUCUGUAUGGAAGGGCCAUCGCUCAACGGAUAAAAGGUACUCUGGGGAUAACAGGCUGAUACCGCCCAAGAGUUCAUAUCGACGGCGGUGUUUGGCACCUCGAUGUCGGCUCAUCUCAUCCUGGGGCUGAAGCAGGUCCCAAGGGUAUGGCUGUUCGCCAUUUAAAGAGGUACGCGAGCUGGGUUUAGAACGUCGUGAGACAGUUCGGUCCCUAUCUACCGUGGGCGCUGGAAAUUUGAGAGGAUCUGCUCCUAGUACGAGAGGACCAGAGUGGACGAACCUCUGGUGUACCGGUUGUGACGCCAGUCGCAUCGCCGGGUAGCUAUGUUCGGAAGGGAUAACCGCUGAAAGCAUCUAAGCGGGAAGCCUACCUCAAGAUAAGAUUUCCCUAGGACUUUAUGUCCUCUAAAGAGCCGUUCGAGACUAGGACGUUGAUAGGUUGGAUGUGGAAGCAUAGUGAUAUGUGAAGCUGACCAAUACUAAUUGCUCGUGAGGCUUGACUA
rnacentral:rRNA from 1 species